GAAGAAACCAGAAGAAACUGCUGCAUUUCAGCUGUGGUGACCACAUCUAGGAGAAGAUCAACAAAGAAGUCAAGCUGGAACCAGAUUGUAUGAGGAGCAUGGACUCAGAACCCAGGAAAUGAGACUGCCUGAUAAGCUAACAGUAUUCAUCUGGCAGUGGCCAAUGACGGGCCAGGCAGAUGAAAAGAUUCAUCAGGGAGGGAGACUGUUGACAACUGCAACCUUGGGUGACAUCCACCUUGUUUUUUAUUCCAUCAAAGACUGAAAGAAGAGGGU